rnacentral:rRNA from 1 species
UAACGACUCUCGGCAACGGAUAUCUCGGCUCUCGCAUCGAUGAAGAACGUAGCGAACUGCGAUACUUGGUGUGAAUUGCAGAAUCCCGUGAACCAUCGAGUCUUUGAACGCAAGUUGCGCCCGAAAGCUUCGGUUGAGGGCACGUUUGCCUGGGUGUCA